rnacentral:rRNA from 1 species
UACGGGGGGGGCAAGCGUUGUUCGGAAUUACUGGGCGUAAAGGGCUCGUAGGCGGCCAACUAAGUCAGACGUGAAAUCCCUCGGCUUAACCGGGGAACUGCGUCUGAUGCUGGAUGGCUUGAGUUUGGGAGAGGGAUGCGGAAUUCCAGGUGUAGCGGUGAAAUGCGUAGAUAUCUGGAGGAACACCGGUGGCGAAGGCGGCAUCCUGGACCAACACUGACGCUGAGUGAGCGAAAGCCAGGGGAGCAAACGGG